rnacentral:rRNA from 1 species
GACGAACGCUGGCGGCGUGCUUAACACAUGCAAGUCGAACGGAAAGGCCCUGCUUUUGUGGGGUGCUCGAGUGGCGAUCGGGGGAGUAACACGUGAGUAACCUGCCCUUGAUUUUGGGAUAACUUCAGGAAACUGGGGCUAAUACCGGAUAGGAGAUCCUGCUGCAUGGUGGGGGUUGGAAAGUUUCGGCGGUUGGGGAUGGACUGGCGGGUAAUGAGCUAGUUGGUGGGGGAGUGGAUUACCAAGUCAUAGACGGGUAGCCGGCAUGGGAGGGUGACCGGCCACAUUGGUCCUGAGAUACGGCGCAGACGCCAACGUGGGGCAGCAGUGGGGAAUAUGGCACAAUGGGCGGAAGCCUGAUGCGACAACGCCGCGGGCGGGAUGACGUCCUGCGGGUUGUAAACCGCUUUCGCCUGUGACGAAGCGUUAGUGACGGUAAUGAAUAAAGAAGCACCGGCUAACUACGUG